rnacentral:rRNA from 1 species
UGGGGAAUAUUGGACAAUGGGCGAAAGCCUGAUCCAGCCAUGCCGCGUGUGUGAAGAAGGUCUUCGGAUUGUAAAGCACUUUAAGUUGGGAGGAAGGGCAGUAAAUUAAUACUUUGCUGUUUUGACGUUACCGACAGAAUAAGCACCGGCUAACUCUGUGCCAGCAGCCGCGGUAAUACAGAGGGUGCAAGCGUUAAUCGGAAUUACUGGGCGUAAAGCGCGCGUAGGUGGUUCGUUAAGUUGGAUGUGAAAUCCCCGGGCUCAACCUGGGAACUGCAUUCAAACUGACGAGCUAGAGUAUGGUAGAGGGUGGUGGAAUUUCCUGUGUAGCGGUGAAAUGCGUAGAUAUAGGAAGGAACACCAGUGGCGAAGGCGACCACCUGGACUGAUACUGACACUGAGGUGCGAAAGCGUGGGGAGC